GCCAGUGUGGCAUAGUGGUUUGAUUGUUGGACUACAACUCUGGAGGCCAGGAUUUGAUUCCUGCCUUGGCC